UAAAACUAAAAAAAAAUGCAUCAACUGUGAAGGGCACUUGGAUAUUGCAAAAGGAAAUAUACAACACUACUUCCAAAAACGCCACGUUAAGGAAAAUCUUGAUUCUCAAGAUGGUACACUUGUGGAAUUUUGUUUACAAAAGGGAAAAGAAGGAAGUGAAGUUUUACUUCCUCCUGUUGGUGACAAACGAAAGGAUUUUGAGAACAGACUUUAUGAUAAUUACCCAGCAUACAGAUUACAAAACAUUGAAGCUAAUAAUAAAAUAUUAGAGGAACUAGGUUUAAAAACGGAUAACUCUUGGAUGGUUAGCUU